AUUGAACGCUGGCGGCAUGCCUUACACAUGCAAGUCGAACGGCAGCGCGGGAGCAAUCCUGGCGGCGAGUGGCGAACGGGUGAGUAAUAUAUCGGAACGUGCCCAGUAGUGGGGGAUAGCCCGGCGAAAGCCUGAUUAAUACCGCAUGAGACCUGAGGGUGAAAGCGGGGGAUCGCAAGACCUCGCGCUACUGGAGCGGCCGAUAUCAGAUUAGCUAGUUGGUGGGGUAAAGGCCUACCAAGGCAACGAUCUGUAGUUGGUCUGAGAGGACGACCAGCCACACUGGGACUGAGACACGGCCCAGACUCCUACGGGAGGCAGCAGUGGGGAAUUUUGGACAAUGGGCGCAAGCCUGAUCCAGCAAUGCCGCGUGCAGGAAGAAGGCCU
rnacentral:rRNA from 1 species